rnacentral:rRNA from 1 species
GAUGAACGCUGGCGGCGUGCCUAAUACAUGCAAGUCGAGCGAACAGACGAGGAGCUUGCUUCUCUGCUGUUAGCGGCGGACGGGUGAGUAACACGUGGAUAACCUACCUAUAAGACUGGGAUAACUUCGGGAAACCGGAGCUAAUACCGGAUAAUAUUUUGAACCGCAUGGUUCAAAAGUGAAAGACGGUUCUUCUGUCACUUCUAGAUGGAUCCGCGCUGCAUUAGCUAGUUGGUAAGGUAACGGCUUACCAAGGCAACGAUGCGUAGCCGACCGGAGAGGGUGAUCGGCCACACUGGAACUGAGACAGGGACCAGACUCCUACGGGAGGAAGCAGUAGGGAAUCUGCCGCAAUGGGCGAAAGCCUGACGGAGCAACGCCGCGUGAGUGAUGAAGAUCUUCGGAUCGUAAAACUCUGUUAUUAGGGAAGAACAUAUGUGUAAGUAACUAUGCACAUCUUGACGGUACCUAAUCAGAAAGCCACGGCUAACUACGUG